rnacentral:rRNA from 1 species
GGUUAAGCGACUAAGCGUACACGGUGGAUGCCCUGGCAGUCAGAGGCGAUGAAGGACGUGCUAAUCUGCGAAAAGCGUCGGUAAGGUGAUAUGAACCGUUAUAACCGGCGAUGUCCGAAUGGGGAAACCCAGUGCAAUUCGUUGCACUAUCGUUAACUGAAUACAUAGGUUAACGAGGCGAACCGGGGGAACUGAAACAUCUAAGUACCCCGAGGAAAAGAAAUCAACCGAGAUUCCCCCAGUAGCGGCGAGCGAACGGGGAGCAGCCCAGAGUCUGAAUCAGCUUGUGUGUUAGUGGAACGGUCUGGAAAGUCCGACGGUACAGGGUGAUAGUCCCGUACACCAAAAUGCACAGGCUGUGAACUCGAAGAGUAGGGCGGGACACGUGGUAUCCUGUCUGAAUAUGGGGGGACCAUCCUCCAAGGCUAAAUACUCCUGACUGACCGAUAGUGAACCAGUACCGUGAGGGAAAGGCGAAAAGAACCCCGGCGAGGGGAGUGAAAAAGAACCUGAAACCGUGUACGUACAAGCAGUGGGAGCACCUUCGGGUGUGACUGCGUACCUUUUGUAUAAUGGGUCAGCGACUUAUAUUCUGUAGCAAGGUUAACCGUAUAGGGGAGCCGCAGGGAAACCGAGUCUUAACUGGGCGUUAAGUUGCAGGGUAUAGACCCGAAACCCGGUGAUCUAGCCAUGGGCAGGUUGAAGGUUGGGUAACACUAACUGGAGGACCGAACCGACUAAUGUUGAAAAAUUAGCGGAUGACUUGUGGCUGGGGGUGAAAGGCCAAUCAAACCGGGAGAUAGCUGGUUCUCCCCGAAAGCUAUUUAGGUAGCGCCUCGUGAACUCAUCUUCGGGGGUAGAGCACUGUUUCGGCUAGGGGGUCAUCCCGACUUACCAACCCGAUGCAAACUACGAAUACCGAAGAAUGUUAUCACGGGAGACACACGGCGGGUGCUAACGUCCGUCGUGAAGAGGGAAACAACCCAGACCGCCAGCUAAGGUCCCAAAGUCAUGGUUAAGUGGGAAACGAUGUGGGAAGGCACAGACAGCCAGGAUGUUGGCUUAGAAGCAGCCAUCAUUUAAAGAAAGCGUAAUAGCUCACUGGUCGAGUCGGCCUGCGCGGAAGAUGUAACGGGGCUAAACCAUGCACCGAAGCUGCGGCAGCGACACUAUGUGUUGUUGGGUAGGGGAGCGUUCUGUAAGCCUGCGAAGGUGACCUGUGAGGGUUGCUGGAGGUAUCAGAAGUGCGAAUGCUGACAUAAGUAACGAUAAAGCGGGUGAAAAGCCCGCUCGCCGGAAGACCAAGGGUUCCUGUCCAACGUUAAUCGGGGCAGGGUGAGUCGACCCCUAAGGCGAGGCCGAAAGGCGUAGUCGAUGGGAAACAGGUUAAUAUUCCUGUACUUGGUGUUACUGCGAAGGGGGGACGGAGAAGGCUAUGUUAGCCGGGCGACGGUUGUCCCGGUUUAAGCAUGUAGGCUGGUUAUCCAGGCAAAUCCGGAUAAUCAAGGCUGAGGUGUGAUGACGAGGCACUACGGUGCUGAAGUAACAAAUGCCCUGCUUCCAGGAAAAGCCUCUAAGCAUCAGGUAACAUCAAAUCGUACCCCAAACCGACACAGGUGGUCAGGUAGAGAAUACCAAGGCGCUUGAGAGAACUCGGGUGAAGGAACUAGGCAAAAUGGUGCCGUAACUUCGGGAGAAGGCACGCUGGUGUGUAGGUGAAGUCCCUGCGGAUGGAGCUGAGACCAGUCGAAGAUACCAGCUGGCUGCAACUGUUUAUUAAAAACACAGCACUGUGCAAACACGAAAGUGGACGUAUACGGUGUGACGCCUGCCCGGUGCCGGAAGGUUAAUUGAUGGGGUUAUCCGUAAGGAGAAGCUCUUGAUCGAAGCCCCGGUAAACGGCGGCCGUAACUAUAACGGUCCUAAGGUAGCGAAAUUCCUUGUCGGGUAAGUUCCGACCUGCACGAAUGGCGUAAUGAUGGCCAGGCUGUCUCCACCCGAGACUCAGUGAAAUUGAACUCGCUGUGAAGAUGCAGUGUACCCGCGGCAAGACGGAAAGACCCCGUGAACCUUUACUAUAGCUUGACACUGAACAUUGAGCCUUGAUGUGUAGGAUAGGUGGGAGGCUUUGAAGCGUGGACGCCAGUCUGCGUGGAGCCAACCUUGAAAUACCACCCUUUAAUGUUUGAUGUUCUAACGUUGGCCCCUUAUCGGGGUUGCGGACAGUGUCUGGUGGGUAGUUUGACUGGGGCGGUCUCCUCCCAAAGCGUAACGGAGGAGCACGAAGGUUAGCUAAUCCUGGUCGGACAUCAGGAGGUUAGUGCAAUGGCAUAAGCUAGCUUGACUGCGAGCGUGACGGCGCGAGCAGGUGCGAAAGCAGGUCAUAGUGAUCCGGUGGUUCUGAAUGGAAGGGCCAUCGCUCAACGGAUAAAAGGUACUCCGGGGAUAACAGGCUGAUACCGCCCAAGAGUUCAUAUCGACGGCGGUGUUUGGCACCUCGAUGUCGGCUCAUCACAUCCUGGGGCUGAAGUAGGUCCCAAGGGUAUGGCUGUUCGCCAUUUAAAGUGGUACGCGAGCUGGGUUUAGAACGUCGUGAGACAGUUCGGUCCCUAUCUGCCGUGGGCGCUGGAGAAUUGAGGGGGGCUGCUCCUAGUACGAGAGGACCGGAGUGGACGCAUCACUGGUGUUCGGGUUGUCAUGCCAAUGGCACUGCCCGGUAGCUAAAUGCGGAAGAGAUAAGUGCUGAAAGCAUCUAAGCACGAAACUUGCCCCGAGAUGAGUUCUCCCUGAGACUUUAAGUCUCCUGAAGGAACGUUGAAGACGACGACGUUGAUAGGCCGGGUGUGUAAGCGCAGCGAUGCGUUGAGCUAACCGGUACUAAUGAACCGUGAGGCUUAACCUU